CAAGACAUUAAUCUUCAAAGCCAACCUUAAUGGGGCUGAAAGAUAAAUGACAAAGCCACAUCUCCUCUCUGGGGUCUCUAUCAUGGAACAAGCAAGCGAGGGUGAAGCAGCUGAACUCUAAAUGCUCCACCCACGCAGCAACCGGCUUUCCCAGGUGUCUGGGAGGGAGACAGGAUAGGUGCUGAGCAAGCUGAACCCCUAUCACAGCAGCAGGAAAAUGGGAGGCACUCAUCCACUUCCUCAGUGCGGCCUGACGCCUGCUCACUGGCUUUAGGAGGUGACUUUCCACAUCUCUGGCCCUCCACACAAUGCCCAGCCCCCGACUGCCAGUUUGCUGGUUAUAAAAACAAUACUCAGCGAAGUUGCUUUUAAGGGAUUUGGUUAUAAUUUCCAAAAGUCAAUUGAAAAAAAAAAAUCUUCGAUCUUUUUGAUCUAGUAUCCAAAUUUCUGAGAAUUUAUCUUAGGGAACUGAUUUCUUUUUCAAAGAAAAAUUACUGUUGUCUCAUUGUCUAUAAAUAAUAAAAUGCCAGAAACAAUCUAAAUGCCCUCAGAAUACAGGAAUUGGUAAGGAAAACAUGGUUCAUCCACCAAAAAAGUAUCACAUAUGUGUAAAAUGAUCAUUAUAAAGAAUGGAAACUCUUAGAAUGAUAAAUUUUAAAAGCAGGAUACAGUAUUGUUGAUACACAGUGCACCAACAUUACAGUUACAAUCAUAUAAAAUUGCCUUGGUAAGGACAAAGAUUUUUAAAGGAGACACAGAAAAUAAAAGCAGGGAAUUUAUUAUUUGCAGGCUCCUGGGUCUUUUCCCACAUUUUCAUUAGAUAUCACUUUGCAAUAAAAAUAAAUUGGAAACAUUUCCAAGUACAUUCCUGAACUCCCACAUGCUAAACUUUUUACUUCGAGAAAACCGAGAUCCACAAGUUCUGUCUCUCUCUGCACCCCUCACCCCAGAGCUAGUCUCAGCUCAACAGGGUUCCUUCUUCUAGCGUUGGAAGCUGAAACUGCAAACACAGCCAGUGAGAUAAGUGUGAAGAAAAAACAAAGGAGCUGUAACUCCGUCUCAAAAAAAAAAAAAAAAAAAGUAUACAUAUUCUCAGCCUCCCAAAUGGCAGGCAGGAAGGUGGAGGAACGAGGAAGAAAUGGAGCCAGGAGGAGGGUAUCAGUGACUCCACCUCAGAUGAACAGGGAAGGGAGAACUGAAGAAUUUGCUGCGAACCUACAUGAUGUGCCGACAUAAUUUAUGAGGUGUAUGUGCUUAUGUGUGAGUUUCAACCAUGGCUAACUGAAAUGAAAGAGCUUUGUUCCCAAAAGAUUCAUUUAUGAAAACGUUACACUACCCUAGUCCUCCUUGGCUGACCAUAAAAGGACAUGUUUUUGAACCAAGAGUCAAAUUUUAGAAAUAAAACACCCUGUCAUGGAAGCUUGUUCAUCUAAAUGGGAAGAAGCACUCUAAAGGAGUGUGCUGGCAUGGCAUUUUCUUGAAGUCUUUGGUGCACAAGAGAGGUUAGACUCUAAUUACAAACUGGGAAUGUGUAAACUUGCCAACCCAUGGCUAUGAAUGAG
rnacentral:lncRNA from 1 species